rnacentral:rRNA from 1 species
CGGUCUACACAUGCAGUCGAACGGUAACAGGAAGCAGCUUGCUGCUUCGCUGACGAGUGGCGGACGGGUGAGUAAUGUCUGGGAAACUGCCUGAUGGAGGGGGAUAACUACUGGAAACGGUAGCUAAUACCGCAUAACGUCGCAAGACCAAAGAGGGGGACCUUCGGGCCUCUUGCCAUCGGAUGUGCCCAGAUGGGAUUAGCUAGUAGGUGGGGUAACGGCUCACCUAGGCGACGAUCCCCUAGCUGGUCUGAGAGGAUGACCAGCCACACUGGAACUGAGACACGGUCCAGACUCCUACGGGAGGCAGCAGUGGGGAAUAUUGCACAAUGGGCGCAAGCCUGAUGCAGCCAUGCCGCGUGUAUGAAGAAGGCCUUCGGGUUGUAAAGUACUUUCAGCGGGGAGGAAGGGAGUAAAGUUAAUACCUUUGCUCGUUGACGUUACCCGCAGAAGAAGCACCGGCUAACUCCGUGCCAGCAGCCGCGGUAAUACGGAGGGUGCAAGCGUUAAUCGGAAUUACUGGGCGUAAAGCGCACGCGGGGCGGUUUGUUAAGUCAGAU